AUCCAGCUGACGAGUCCUAAACAGGACGAAUUGCAUGUUUUGGAU
rnacentral:hammerhead_ribozyme from 1 species